CACAACACCCGGCUAAUUUUUUUAUUUUUAUUUUUUUUGUAGAGGCGGGGAUUUCCUCAUGUUGCUCAGGCUGGUCUCGAACUCCUGAGCUCAAGCAACCCACCCACCCCGGCCUCCCCAAGUGCUGGGGUUACAGGUGUGAGCCACUGCACCCGGUCUCGGACGCAUUUUCAUUAGGUGCCCUCUGACGUCAGCAGCUGGUUGAAGGUUUAAUGGCUUAGAGUGCGCACAGAGUGGGGUGGGAACUUGUGUGUCUCACCCCUGCCCCACCCCGCUUGGGUUUCCCUACAGUUUCUACCAGGUUCAUAAGCAGAACCUAAAACAAAUGGGUUUAGAAGUAACUUUAGCCUCUUUGGCUACUUCUGGUGCUCGCCGAAUCCAGAAAAAUGGUCUUUUUAAAUGUCCUGUUAUUUUGCACAAACGAUUUCCUGCUUAGAGUGAGGAGCAAAACCUCUGGCUUUUAACCCUGCCAAAGACCUACUUGAAGUCAAUCUGUGCAUAUUUAAUUUUUCAGGCUCAGCAAGGUCUUAUCUCAUUCUAUCUGCAUUUUAUAACAAUCCCACAUUUUCUCUCUACUUUCCUCAAGCAUUCUAACCCUUCCGUGUCCUCGCUGCCCGCCACCCACUCAAGGGAACUUCACCUACUCAAGAGCCACAGGGGCUGGACAGAAGAACCUGGCAGCUGUCCAAAGCCUUCAGCGCCUAAUUUCCCACCAAGUGCAAGACUGACAAGGUUCUUCCCUGCGGUCUCCUCUUGCCAAUCCUCACCGCGUUCUUAGUUCCUGCCUCAGUGUUAUUUUCUCCAAGCAACAUAGCAAGUGAGGCCCGAUGGGUCUGGAAGGCUUACACGGCCCAAAGGGACAAUGACGGCAGGCUUCAGAGCUGUGGUUGAGAGUCUGGAGGAUUUCAGCCUGGAUUUCACAUACCAUCCUCAUCAUGAGGAAGGAAGCAGCCCCCAUCUGGGAGCUGGGAGCUUGGAAGGGUCCGGCUGCAUGGAGCUGGUGGUGGAACAUGUCAAGGGAGUCCAGGAGCUGAGCAUGGAUGCUCCAUCGCCCUCCUAUGUUUUGAAAUCUACUGAAUGUCACAGGUAAUCUUCCCUCUCUUCCUUCCAGGGGUACUGUGCGCCAGGCAUUCAAAGACAGCACUCAGGAGAUCUUCAUAGCAGCCCUCAAAGUAGGUUUUAGCCUCUGCUCAGAGUAACUGUUAAAUAACUCCAUGGAGGUUACAACAGCAGAACAGCAGAGGCUGGUGGAGCCACAAUUGAAGUUCAGGUCUGGCUGACACUGGGACAGUGUUUUUUCCCUCUUCCAUGGUGUAUUCAUCAAGCACUGGGCCUGACACCAGGGGACACAGAUAAACCAGAACCCCUGCCCUGCGGAAGCUGGUGGGGCAGGGAGGAGUCAAUAACAACUGAGACAGACCGGAGCAAAAGGUGGGCUGAAGCAGGGCUGGAAAUGACUUCAGUGGAGCACAGGAGAGGGAGAGACGCAGCUGCAAAGAGGUGCUGACUGAGUCAGGGAGAGGCUGUUACGGAGGGGGACAACCCUCAGGGAUGGUGGCUCUCUAAAGGAGCAGGACAUGGCGACUAAAUGCAAUGUGGGAUCCCAGGUUGGCUCUUGGAUUAAAAAUAAUAAUAAUAAUAAAAAGCUACAGGCUGGGCACAGUGGCUCACACCUGUAAUCCCAGCACUUUGGGAGGCCGAGAUGGGCAGAUCGUUUGAGCUCAGGAGUUCGAGACCAGACUGGGCAACAUGGUGAAACCCUGUCUCUACCCAUGAUACAAAAACUUAGCCGGGUGUGGUGGUGUG
rnacentral:lncRNA from 1 species